UUUUAGGGUUCCGUAGCCAAAUGGCAAAAAACGGAACCCUUAUAGAUUCGUCAUGUCUGUCUGUCUGUCGGUCUGUCUCAUAGCCACUUUUUUUCCGAAACUAUAAGAACUAUACUGUUGAAAUUUGGUAAGUAGAUGUAUUCUGUGAACCGCAUUAAGAUUUUCACACAAAAA